UCCCAGGUGUCUCAGUAGGUAAAGAAUUUGCCUGCAGUGCAGAAGAUGUGGGUUCGAUUCCUGGGUUGGGAA
rnacentral:tRNA from 1 species